UGGAGGCGAGCGCACGGGACAGCUUCUCGGGGACAUUGCCACAAAAUUAUAUGAACUAUAUCAGAAUUCCAAUAAUGUAUUGAGAAAUAGCCACAGCUUGAGGCAAGAUGAGAGCCGGGAGGAAGUUGUGGAGCCGUUCCUGCGUCCCGCCGCCGCCAGUGUCAGUGAAGCAAUUUGGCGAAUGGGAAUGCAAUGCCACGAUACGCCACCGCUAAUGAGACUGGCUGCCGGAGAGACAGCCACGCUGCACCCUUUAUUUUUCUUUUUCUUACUGCUGACGCUCCUUGCCCUGGAACUUCACCUCGUCACUGCGCCUUGCUAACUUCCCUGCCUAAGUGCUGACCCAGAGAGAGCAGCGGGGGAGGAGUAAUAACGCAGAUAUAAGCACAAAGGUGAGUUGAAUGCUGCACCUGUACAGCUCAUUGGUCAACCAUGUGGUGGUGGUCGUGGGUUCAGUGCCAUGGCACCACCUCUUCCCACGUUGGCGGCCGGCUUGCUAACUUCUCCCUCACUCUGAUGGUUGUGACUCAUCUGAUGGACAUGUCUCCUGUUGUGCUCCUGUCCCUCACAGCCCUCCAUCCAGGUGGUGCCAGG